UACGAAGGGGGGCUAGCGUUGCUCGGAAUCACUGGGCGUAAAGCGCACGUAGGCGGCUUUCUAAGUCAGGGGUGAAAUCCUGGAGCUCAACUCCAGAACUGCCUUUGAUACUGGAGAGCUUGAGUCCGGAAGAGGUGAGUGGAACUCCGAGUGUAGAGGUGAAAUUCGUAGAUAUUCGGAAGAACACCAGUGGCGAAGGCGGCUCACUGGUCCGGUACUGACGCUGAGGUGCGAAAGCGUGGGGAUCAAACAGGG
rnacentral:rRNA from 1 species